UUCUGUAGAGAUAUCACCUCAGCAAGAGACUAAUUAAGGUUGGCCUUAAUUUAUACUUGGAUGGGGGAAUCACUGGGAAUUCCAGGGCUAUACAUU
rnacentral:rRNA from 1 species